rnacentral:rRNA from 1 species
UACGGGGGGGGGGCAAGCGUUGUUCGGAAUUACUGGGCGUAAAGGGCUCGUAGGUGGCCAACUAAGUCAGACGUGAAAUCCCUCGGCUUAACCGGGGAACUGCGUCUGAUACUGGAUGGCUUGAGCUUGGGAGAGGGAUGCGGAAUUCCAGGUGUAGCGGUGAAAAUGCGUAGAUAUCUGGAGGAACACCGGUGGCGAAGGCGGCAUCCUGGACCGGCAUUGACGCUGAGGCGCGAAAGCCAGGGGGAGCAAAACGGGG